GACGAACGCUGGCGGCGUGCCUAACACAUGCAAGUCGAGCGAUGAAAUUUCCUUCGGGAAAUGGAUUAGCGGCGGACGGGUGAGUAACACGUGGGUAACCUGCCCUAAAGAGGGGGAUAGCCUUCCGAAAGGAAGAUUAAUACCGCAUAACAUUAGAUUAUCGCAUGAUAAUUUAAUCAAAGGAGUAAUCCGCUUUAGGAUGGACCCGCGUCGCAUUAGCUAGUUGGUAAGGUAAGGGCUUACCAAGGCAACGAUGCGUAGCCGACCUGAGAGGGUGAUCGGCCACAUUGGGACUGAGACACGGCCCAGACUCCUACGGGAGGCAGCAGUGGGGAAUAUUGCGCAAUGGAGGAAACUCUGACGCAGCAACGCCGCGUGAGUGAUGAAGGUCUUAGGAUUGUAAAGCUCUGUCUUUUGGGACGAUAAUGACGGUACCAAAGGAGGAAGCCACGGCUAACUACGUGCCAGCCGCCGCGGUAA
rnacentral:rRNA from 1 species